rnacentral:rRNA from 1 species
UACGUAGGUGGCAAGCGUUAUCCGGAAUUAUUGGGCGUAAAGCGCGCGCAGGCGGUUUCUUAAGUCUGAUGUGAAAGCCCACGGCUCAACCGUGGAGGGUCAUUGGAAACUGGGGAACUUGAGUGCAAAAGAGAAAAGCGGAAUUCCACGUGUAGCGGUGAAAUGCGUAGAGAUGUGGAGGAACACCAGUGGCGAAGGCGGCUUUUUGGUCUGUAACUGACGCUGAGGCGCGAAAGCGUGGGGAGCAAACAGG